UUUCUACUCCCUCCGUCUUAAAAUACUUCUGAUAAAAAUGGAUAAAAAGAGAUGUAUCUAAAACUAAAAUACGUCUAGAUACAUUUCCUUUUAUCCAUUUUGAUGACAAGUAUUUCCGGACGGAGGGAGUAUUUG
rfam:Triticum urartu cultivar G1812 contig916787, whole genome shotgun sequence.